UACGUAGGGCGCAAGCGUUAUCCGGAAUUAUUGGGCGUAAAGAGCUCGUAGGCGGUUUGUCGCGUCUGCCGUGAAAGUCCGGGGCUUAACCCCGGAUCUGCGGUGGGUACGGGCAGACUUGAGUGAUGUAGGGGAGACUGGAAUUCCUGGUGUAGCGGUGAAAUGCGCAGAUAUCAGGAGGAACACCGAUGGCGAAGGCAGGUCUCUGGGCAUUAACUGACGCUGAGGAGCGAAAGCAUGGGGAGCGAACAGG
rnacentral:rRNA from 1 species